CCUAACAAUCAUGCCUCCAUUUCUUUUUCUUAAAAUAGUUGGAAUCUGGUAAGCAUGGAUUCCCCUCUCCCAAAUCGUAUUUCAUCCUAAAGCCUCUAGAGAAUAUAGUUUUGGAGAGUGAGGUUUUCUUACACGGGAGGCAAAUGAGUUUGACGUGGUGAAUCCUCCUAAAAUGGUUUCCUGCUUCAUUUCAAUACGACAGAUAAUUUAUUAUACACCCUAGUCUUCUCUUAGUGGAAAAAAAAAUCCCCAAGGACUAACUUUAAUUUCAAAAAUAACCACAGCGGAAUGGUCAUGGAGAUACUGCCUUACUGUACAUACAGAUUCUACUUUAAUACCAGACCCAUAUGUUUAACAAUGUAUUUUUGAAGACUAUUUUUCUACCACUUAGGUGAAGUAAAAGAACAUUUUCUAUCUUCCCAGUACAGCUGUUUACGUAGUCAGAGGGUACAGUCUUUUCUGCCGAGGCUGAGGGAGCAUUUACAGUCCAUAACAGUAUACGCAGUCCCCAUUUGUGGAGCGAAUGCCAUACCAACCAACGCCCACUGAGGAAUGUGAAGUGGGUGCCAAUAUUCAAUUUCCAAUACAGCAUAGUAUAGUUUAUCUGGUUCUUUUAUCUCCAGAUACACUAAACAAUCACCAAUAGCGUGUCAGGACUCUCCACACACAGAAUUAUUUCUCCUGUAAUUUAGGGCUAAUCUGGGGCUCCUGCUCUUCUCUGGGUGAAUAUUCUAGAAGCCAUCGUGAAAAAGGAGGGUGGUGACAUCCAGCAUACUGUUUUGGAGAGAGGGUUUUGUUUUGCUUUGUUUUCCUGAGCAAUCUUGGACAGCAGAGGUAUUUUCAGCAAAGCCGUGAGUUAGUUAUCUCUCUGGAGCAGAUCCAUUUGCAAAAUCUUGGCAGAAGCAGAGAUAACACUCGCGUCAGAAGUUUCCAAAUAAAUGUUUUAAGAAAUAGCAUCUGUGGAGUGGUGGGCACAGCUACAAAGACCAGGGUCUGGUAGUAAGGAUCUCUGAGUUAGUGCCAGGGGCAGGCUCCCCAGGAGGGAUCAGAAGCCUGGGUCUCCAUCUUAACGAGAGCAUCCAUAACUCAUGAGCUGCCUCCCUCUCUUGUUUAUUUCACCUGAUGGCAAAUACUUUCUCUGUGUCCACUCACCAGCUGGACUUAGAGAAUCUGAGCUCACCUCUGUGAGUUAAGUAUUCCACCCAACAAGCCCAUGUUGAUAGGAACUGGACGCAGAGGUGACCUGAUGUUGGAAAGCGAACACACUGUCCUGGCAUCCAGAUUGCAGAAAUAAUAGACCGGAGGCUCUGUUCUCCCAAUACAUAAACAUCGUAAGAGUACGCGGAACAUUUGGAAAAUUUGUCCCCAAGUUCAUUCAGUCCCCUAGAUCCUUGCUACUCAGAGUCUGGUCUGAGGACCAGGUGUGUCAUCAUCACCCGGGCACUGCAUGGAAAUGCAGAUCUCGGCCUCCCUGGCCCAGAACUAAAGAGUCAUUACCUGCAUUUGACUAAGUUCCCCAGGUGACCCGUGUGGGUAAUGAAGUUUGAGGAGUAUUGCCCUUCAUGCCCACUUCCCCUAAAAGCUGUUUUAGCACAUGGACAUGCCUCUCUUGGAAAGUACAAGUCAAGUCUGUUUGACUUACACUGGACAAUACUGUAUGGAAGGAGAAGGCAUAGAUUUUAAAAUCUAUUUGAGCUUUAAGAUUCACAUGAUGGUACAGCAUGGCCUGCGAAAGGACACACAACUUCUAAGAAGGCCAAGGGAUAUAGUCCACCUUGAGUAGCACUGACCAAGACUCUGCCCUUCAAAGCCAAUGCAGACUAAAAUGUCCCCCAAAUAGUCCAUUGUUCUCCAAGAUGUACUAGUCUAUCAAUCACUCUGGUAGCUUGCAAAUUAAAAGAGUCUGCUGUGGAAACCAAAGCAAUGUUGAAGCAGUCUGUGUCCUCUGUAAAGCCAUAUUGAAGCAAAGACUGUGUGAUAGCAUCAAGUUCCAUAUUUUCAAAGCUACCACUACCUCUGCUUUGUCUCUUUCCUAGAAAAUGCCAAGCAGAACUAUUCACCAUUAAGUGGGAAAUGAGAAGUGAUUGUUACAAAAGCUGUUGGAUAGGUUGGUUGGUUUGUUUGUUUGUUUUCACUUGAGACUACACCUUCUAAUUCACCAUUUUGCAGGUUUAUGCUAGGUUGUCUCAAGAGCCAUUUUUACAUCUACUAAAAACUGGAUGGUGAAUAAGGACCAGAAAGAACACAUAGUAAGUCACUGAUGAAAAACCAACAAAACCAGAGAGCAGACUUUUUUCCUAACUAUAAAUCACCUGUUGCCCAAAGUCAUGAUGAUGUUUUCUCUCACAAUUUGAUUUCCCUAAUUCCAUGUAGAAAUAAAUCUUUUCCUUAUUUGAUUUUAGACAUCAAAUAUAUUAUGGUAUGAGAAAAGUCAAUCAUAUAUCAUAACUAAUCUUGUUUUGAUUUUUAAAAUUUAUUUCUAAAUGUACUUAUUAUAAUGAUGAUUUUGUUUCUUUUUAGCCUUAAAGAAUUAUAGAUGAUAAUCAUCCAACCUGCAUUUUUAAUUCUGUAAAUCUUUGGUUAUUGAACCUUGGGCUUUCUGUUUUCCGUGGAUUUACUCCUUUGUCUCUUUCCAUUUUAAGGAGACAACGUGGAUAGUUACAUCUUUGUCAAUCGUAUGGGAGAUUAUGCUAACUGCUGUUCUCCUAACAUCUUCAUCUUUUCUGCACGCCGAA